AAGAAAGUGACUGCCGCCCCGCACAGGGGCAACGCCAAUAGACCGACGCGAAAACGGGAUCCGGCGAACAACAACAACAAAAAAACCCUGUCCCUCACGGCCCAA
rnacentral:sRNA from 1 species